AAUGCUCGGGGGCACUGGGCACGCGCAGCUGCACCCCGGGGCGCCUGAUGCUGGGGUUUCUCGUGUCCGGCUGUGGGCAAGGAGCAUGCGCGGCAGGGCUGAGUGCGCAGGCGAGCGCCGGGCUGGCCGGAGGCGCGGGCGUGGGGUGCGGGUGGUUGGGGGCAUGAGCCACAGUGAGCUCCCAUCCGCCUCUCCAGGAUUUACAUUCGGGUCCGGAGGGUACAGAAGACAGAGGCCUGAGUGCGAAUGCGAAUAAACCGCUUCAUUCUGGCCGCAAAGAGCUGACAGGCCCGUGUGGUGCGUUGACGCUCAGUUGUGCAUCUUUGAAGCUGGAGGCGAGGUCCUCCUGGGGCCCGUCCCCCGAGUGCCCUUCACCCUUAGACACCCACACUAAGGGACACCGUUCUGGAAACAGACCCCUCGGAGCACCGCCUGGCCGGAGAGAAGCAGGGGCCGCAGCUCUGGAGGACCUCGACCAGGACCUGGUCAGUGAGUGACCCUGUGCCAGGCGCAGCCGCUGCUCCCGCGGGAGCCUCAGCGUGGCCCGCAACAAUGGUCCACGGUGCCACCCGCAGUAGAUCAUCCGCUCUCCGCCAUGGACACCCCGCGCUGUAGUGGACCAUUUCUCUAAACAUAAUUUUAAACGACAUGAAGUGUUUUCCCCGAUUCUGGGCCUUGCCCAGGACAGCAAGAGCUUUCUGCCUCCGACCUGGUGGAUCACAGAGACCCUCCUUGACCGUUCCUGUGAUGCCCACCGCCAACAGGCAGAGCUCUGCCCUCUCCUGAGAAUGUGCUCCACACAGUACAUUUUUUUUUGUCUUGGUUUUGGGUUUUUGAACCACACCCAGCGAUGCCCAGGGGUUACUCCUGGCUCUGCACUCAGGAGCAGUCAUCCUGGUCGUGCUGGGGGACCAUACAGGAUGCCAGGGAUCGAACCCAGUUGGCUGCAUGCAAGGCAAACGCCCUGCCCACUGUACUAGUGACCCGGCCCACAGGCGGUGCUUUCUAGAGGCUAGACAGACAGGGCAGCCCCCGGACGUUGACUUGACACCACACACACACUUAGGCUGUAGAUUCCUGUCUGAGGUGUGAGACUAGUGCUCUCUGCACCUGUGCACGAGGCUUUUAUGAACCGUUCAUUCCAAAGACACCUUGUGAAACGCUAUUAAAUGCCCAGAGAUGCCCCGUGUUUAGCUGGGGCUGCAGCAGAGCCAAGCCAACCAACUGAUAAAUAUGUGAGAUUCCUAGUGUUGAGGACUGGCAAGGAAAUAACCGGCUCACGAGAGUGAUGGGAACAAGCCUUUGACCACCACCACCAUUCUGCCAGUGACAGGUGUUCUUCCCCUUGCAGGUGAGGAAACCAGGGCCCUCGGGAAGGCGAGCAUCCCUCUCUGAGACAGUCUGUCCUGCGAUCAGGAUGCAGGCGUGGUAUUGCCAGCCCCAAGGUUGGAAGGUGAGAGUUGGACUUGAAAAGGAUAGCCAAGUUCCCCCUACACACACACCUCCCAAAUGUUUGCCCCCUCUCUCCUCCAAACGGCCUGAAAUGGAACAGAGUAGCGGGCAGUGACCCCAAAUCACUCCUUCCAGUUGUAGUGGUGCAGAACCCUUCUUCCUCAACCAUUUUCCUCCCCCAACCCCAAACUCACAGUCACUGUAAACUAAGGGGCGUGCAGAAGCCGGGGUACCUAGAUCUCCCCCUAAACUACCCCACAUGUGUCGAGCACCCCGGGGUCCCCGCCUGGGUGGUUCUUUGGGUCAAAUGUGUUGUCUUGGACUAACUUCUGCAGGUUCUUUCCACUGGGGGAGGGCGGGGGGAUAAGAGGAGCCGAAUGUCCGGACACGGCUACUGUGUCCAAGCCGAGCUUGCGCUGGUCUCCGCGGACACCGCCUGGCCGCCUCACUGUCCCUCCAGGCUCGGUCUUCCACUCGGGGGCUCCAGCCCAAAGCCUGACGCCGACUCAAGAUGCUCCGAGCCGCCCUCUAAGCCAGCAGCGGCGCGCGGAAGCGGAGCGCUCUAUCCUCCCUGCACGGGGCGGGUCGCCCGGGGGAGAGUGACCCCCAGGCCUGUGUCCCCGGCUCCCUGGACUCCACUUUGCCCCCGCCUGCGGCAGCUCACCCGAGCCUGGCCCGAGCAUGACCCCGCUCCCUCCUUGGAGUACCGGAGCGGGAGGCGGGAGGAUACCAACCAGCGGGCGAGGAGAGAUGCCGCGAGGACCAAUGUCACACCGAGAAAUUCACUUUACGGCAGCCGGCGGGCCCCCGCCGCGGGGCAUCUUGGGAAAUGUAGUCCGGCCUCGGCCCGACCCUCUCCAAGCUGCUAUUGGCUCCCGGAAUUCGAGGUCCUGAUUGGAAGCUUUGGUUACUAGGUAACGUGCCCCCACGAUGCUCUCCCACAUCCCGCGGUCAAGGAAAAGCGCUCGGAUUGGGCUAUGACUUACUCUGUUCUUAGUUCCCUCACAUAUCUCAGAACGGUGCCAACCUUGAAGGUUCUCGACUUUAUUUGAGCAAGGAGGGCGCUACAUUAUAUUCUCUCGGAAAGCAUCAUUGGUAGCCUACAUGUGCCUGGCAUUGCGCAAGGCUAAAGAAUGCACAAGUCGAAUUAAACAAAAAUCUUACCUUCGUUUUUUUUUUAAUACAUGUACCACGUAGCCAACACCUAUCUCAGAUAUGGAAAAUUCUCAGCAGUACAUCACCAAGCUGUCCUGUGACCCUCUCAGAAUGGACAGAGGGAAAACUACAUAAAAUAAAGAUGUUCUCAUUAUAAAAGAAGAAGCUGCAGGGCCAUUGGGAAGGAAGGCCUGGAGCGCUCUGGAAUGAGAAUAAUGUUCUGAGCUGAGCUGUAGUGGCCCAGGGUGGUUUUUCUGUCACUGUCAUCCCAUUGCUCAUCGAUUUGUUUGAGCGGGCACCAGUAAUGUCUCUCAUUGUGAGACUUAUUUGUUACUGUUUUUGGCAUAUCCAAUACACCACGGGUAGCUUGCCAGGCACUGCCGUGUGGGCUCGAUACUCACGGUAGCUUGCCGGGCUCUCCGAGAGGGGCAGAGGAAUCGAACACGGGUUGGCCGCGUGAAAGGCGGAUGCCCUACCGCUGUGCUAUCGCUCCAGCCAUGGUUUUUCUGUAUAGUUAUUAAUUAGAUUAUGAACUUAUCCAUAAUGAUAUAUAACUGUACAAUCAUGUCACUCAUGUGUAUUUUGUGUGUGCUUUAAGUCUCAAUUCUUAAUCUAUAACAGAAAAAAAAAUGGAGCUGGGAAGAUCGCUCAGUGAUCAGACACAUACUUUCCAUGCACCAGACCUGGGUUUCCAUACCCAGCACCAUCUAUACCCCCCCAUCCCCAGCACCACUAGCCCUAGUGGUCCCAAGCAUGGCAGGGCUUGAGGAUGCUCUGAACCACUUGGCUCUAUUGGUUAAUGUCAUGGGAGUGGGAGUGGCCUGUUGGGUCCCUUAAGUUUUGCUUAGGAGCCCCUCCACCAAAACCCCUAAAAUAAUAAAACACUUUUUGUUAAUAUG